AUCACUAAGUCACUGAAAGUCCCAGCUCCAGUUUCUCAAGCAGGGCUGGAACCUAUGAGAACCUGCCUUGGUCCUGAAAUGGGUUCUAGGCUCUUCUUUGUGGUCUCCAGUCUUCUGUGUUCAAAACACAUGGAGGCUGCUGUCAUCCAAAGCCCAAGAAACAAGGUGACAGUGACAAGAGGAAAGGUGACAUUGAGCUGUCAUCAGACUAAUAACCACAACAACAUGUACUGGUAUCGGCAGGACAUGGGGCAAGGUCUGAGGCUGAUCCAUUAUUCAUAUGGUACUGACAGCACUGAGAAAGGAGAUGUCCCUGAAGGUUACAAGGCCUCCAGACCAAGCCAACAGAACUUCUCCCUCAUGCUGGAGUCUGCUUCCCAGUCUCAGACAUCUGUGUACUUCUGUGCCAGCAGUGAUGCACAGUGAUGUGUGACUUCUUCCCCUCUGCGCAGAAAGGAAAUUAGGAGAAGAAAGUGUCUGUGUGUCCUAGAAAGUCCCCGCCUCUCUAAGAGUCACUGAGCUCUGACAAACUAGGAGCCUUACAACAUAGGUCUCAGCCUGACUAGAGGCCACUCUAACACCUCUUUAUAAGUGCUGGUCUCCUCUCUGAAUUUUUUUUCAGAGAGUAAAAUCAUUCUUUAGUUGGAGUUCAUGAUGACCUCUUUAAUGACCUUAUAGCCACCUGUGGGCUUCAAUGACCUCUUCAGCCCCUUUUUGCCAACUGUGUUAAUUAUGUGAUCUCUUUUCUGGAUAUAUUAAAUAGUAGCUCAUGUUUUUGUUUUUUGUUUUUUGGGGUUUUUUGUUUGUUUGUUUGUUUGUUUUCUGUAUUCCCCUUCCCUGGUUCAUUCUACCUAAAUUUAUCUGCAGUCAGUACUUACUCAUGUGUGCUGUGAUGUUUUUGACCAUGAGAUAUUUGUCCAAGUCAAUUCCUGGGCACUAAAGACAUACCUUUCCCUCUUAUUUCCGGAACUCAUUUUCCCUUGAAUAUAUGCUUCAGGAAGAAUUAUUUUUCUCUAUCCUUUUUAAGAUAUUAGUUUAGUUAUGUUGUUUCCUCCCCUACUUCUCCCUCUAUUUACUUCAUGGUCUCUAUUCUUUAGUUAUUAUUUUAAAUUUUUGUGUUUGUGGUGUGAAUAAAUAUAUGAAUACAG